rnacentral:sRNA from 1 species
GUCGUGAGAUGUUGGGUUAAGUCCCGCAACGAGCGCAACCCCUGUUCUUAGUUGCCAGCGCGUAAUGGCGGGGACUCUAGGAAGACUGCCGGUGCCAAACCGGAGGAAGGUGGGGACGACGUCAAGUCAUCAUGGUCCUUACGUCUAGGGCUACACACGUGCUACAAUGGGCGGGACAGAGGGGGCCGAGGCAGCAAUGCCAAGGCAAUCCCAAAACCCGUCCUCAGUUCGGAUUGUCGUCUGCAACUCGACGGCAUGAAGCUGGAAUCGCUAGUAAUCGUGGAUCAGCAUCGCCACGGUGAAUAUGUUCCCGGGCCUUGUACACACCGCCCGUCACGUCAUGAAAGCUGGCAACACCCGAAGCCGGUGGGCCAACCGCAAGGAGGCAGCCGUCGAAGGUGGGGUCGGUGAUUGGGACGAAGUCGUAACAAGGUAGCCGUACCGGAAGGUGCGGCUGGAUCACCUCCUUUCUAGGGAGAUCCGAGUCCCGACUCUUCGGUGGGGUCGGGGCGUUGAAGGCUCCCAGGUUGAUCGCACGAUCAUCAGUCGCCCUCGUCAGGUGGGUGACGCUCGAUCGGUCCCGCAAGGGGCCGGCCGGGGAGAUCGAACGCGACCUGGCAACAACACCGACCCAUUCGUGCAUUCCGAUCGGACGUUCCUGUCACUCUUCAACGGCCAAGGGUGCAGCCGCCGGUGGCGAUCGACAUGUCGACCGCUUCUGGUCGGCACAGCCUCGGCGGGCGUUUAGCUCAGCUGGUUAGAGCACUGCCCUGAUAAGGCAGAGGUCUCUGGUUCGAGUCCAGAAACGCCCACCAUCCACCCCGGCAAGGGGACGUAGCUCAGUUGGCAGAGCAUCUCCUUUGCAAGGAGAGGGUCAGGAGUUCGAGUCUCCUCGUCUCCACCAACCAGCUCCGGGACCACGCAGCGGAGGAUCCGAUCCUGCGCAAGGGCCGCACUCACCGAUAACUGAAGACUCCGGGUGGACCCCGGGACGACCGAACUCCAAGGCGCUGUCGAGACGGCUUCGAGGCAGGUCCUCGAGCCGUCUUCGUGUGUCCACCACCAUCGUUCUCCUGAUCCGUGACCUCCGAUGAGGAGCUCACCGACCAGCGGACCGCUGGAUCACCGGCCCGGCAACGGACCGGUCGCCCGCCGCGCGGGCAGCACCUUGACAACUGGAAUUGUUGUUCGGCAGUAAAUCGAUCUUCGAUUUCGCCGAGUCAAGACAAGGAUACGAUCCCGAUCGAUCCCGUCCGCGACUGGCCGCCAGGUCAGAUGCUGGAGGGGGUCAAGCUACAAAGGGCACGGGGUGGAUGCCUUGGCGCCAAGAGCCGAUGAAGGACGUGGCAGGCUGCGUAAAGCUUCGGGGAGUCGCGAGCAGACGUUGAUCCGGAGAUGU